GACGAACGCUGGCGGCGUGCUUAACACAUGCAAGUCGAACGGUGAAGGGGUCUGCUUUUGUGGGCCCUGGAUGAGUGGCGAACGGGUGAGUAACACGUGAGUAACCUGCCCCCUUCUUCUGGAUAACCGCAUGAAAGUGUGGCUAAUACGGGAUAUUCUGGGUCUGUCGCAUGAUGGGUCUGGGAAAGAUUGCGCCUUUGGGUGUUUUUGGUGGGGGAUGGGCUCGCGGCCUAUCAGCUUGUUGGUGGGGUGAUGGCCUACCAAGGCGGUGACGGGUAGCCGGGCUGAGGGGGUGGACGGUCACAAUGGGACUGAGACACGGCCCAGACUCCUACGGGAGGCAGCAGUGGGGAAUAUUGCACGAUGGGCGCAAGCCUGAUGCAGCGACGCCGCGUGAGGGAUGGAUGCCUUCGGGUUGUAAACCUCUUUCGCCAGUGAAGCAGGCCUGCUCCUUGUGGGUGGGUUGACGGUAGCUGGAUAAGAAGCGCCGGCUAACUACGUG
rnacentral:rRNA from 1 species